GUAUUCAGGUUAGAUAAACCUCACAUGUCCUCCUUGGAAUGGGUAGUGUCCUGUUCAUGUUUAUUGUUUUCUUACAGUACUAGUCCAGCUUUUUUUUUUUUUUCCAUGAUGCCUGCUGAAGCAAUAUCUUAAUAACAGGGGAGACAAGAUAAGUAAUACCUUUUCUAAGAGAAAAUAUUCCUGAAUUCUGGCAAAUUCUGAAAUGUUAGUUCAAAAAGUAAACAUCCUUACUUUUUAAUGCGGACUUUUCCACCCUUUUUGGAAAGGGCACAUCCUCUGACAUGAUACACUGUGGUUUCUAGAUAUCAUUAGAUAAUGACUGAUCUGACAGCACCCUCCAGGCACAAGAUUUUACUUUGAUUGGGAUGAGUUGCCAUCAAGCACAGUUCGUUAGGAGAAAAUCAGAGAACACCAGUCUCACUGGUACAGACCCAGCUGGCAUGGGUCAAAUUUAAGCAGGGGAUGUCAUGACUGCAAGAACUGAUCUCUCUAAGCAGUAACAAGAAGUGCCUGGAACUGGAAAGUUGGGUGAGCUUUGCUGUUUUGUUUUCUUUGUUUUGUUUUGUUUUGUUUUGAAGGGGGUAGAAUGAGUGGAGCUAUGUUAUGUUCUUUCUAAAGAACUGUGACUAAACCAUGACGAGUUAGAAGCAUGUGUAAUAUAUGCAUGAAAUCUGCAGCACCCUUCCUUAAAAUUAAUGCAGAUCAAGAGACCCUGAUUGUUUUGGACCACAGAGCAAGAAGCAAGGCCUACAGGCAAGUCCCCUGCCAGCAUUCUUCUCUGGAGAGCAUCAACAGGAAAAGAUCAACACAACUUCAGCAGUGGAAGUGAGCUGGGAAGUGGGGAUCACUGAGAAGAAAAAAGAAAAAGCGGCUUGGGAUUUUCAAGAAACCAUAGAAAUGUUACUGCCUUUUUCCCUUGGCUUGGGGCAAGAGCAUCAACUUGGCCAUCAGACUUAUUCUGGGCCUUUGAAAAUGACAGACUCAGGGCAUUUAUGCUCUUUUAUUUAUGCUCUUUUUUUUUCUUUUUUUUUUUCUGUUUAACAAAAUAAAAGAAUUUCCAUCUUUCAGUUGUCAGUAGUGGUGAUGAGCAAAAUCAGAUAAACGUGGGGAAAUUCUUAUUCACUGGACCCUAGCUAUAUAAUGCAGCCAUUAUCUUUUAAUAGUUAACAUAAA
rnacentral:lncRNA from 1 species